AUAAAGUUUUAUUCUUGCUUGAGGAUUUAUUUAAAUUUUGUUUUACAUGUAAGUUUUUGCGGGAUUUUAUUAAUUGUUCUUAAUGAUGUAUUAAUUUAUUAUUGUGUCGCAGUAUUUAAUUUUAUUAAUCAAGGUCACUUGGAAUUAGCAAUAGUUUUUAGUACCGGCAAAAGUCGUGCCAGCUGCCGCGGUUACACGGAGGGUACAAAUAAAUAUUUUUAGUUUGUAGUUAUAAGUUGUAUAUUAUAAGGAAAUAAAAUUAAUUUUGUUAGGUGAAAUUUUAAUUUUAAAAUAUUUCUUUUAUUUUUGUUAGAGGCUAUGAAAUUUAUUUUAUAAACUAGGAUUAGAUACCCUAUUAUUUUAAAUGUAAAAUAGUUUAACUUGAGUAGUAAUAGUUAUGUUCUUGAAACUCAAAGAAUUUGGCGGUGUUUUAGUCCUUUCAGAGGAACCUGUCCCGUAAUCGAUAGUCCACGUUAUACCUUACUUAGCCUUGUUUAUCAGCUUGUAUACCGCCGUCGUCAGAAUGUCCUUAGAGGGUUACAAUUUUCUUUAUUUUAAAUUGGAAGUGAUGUCAGGUCAAGGUGCAGUUUAUGGCUAAGUGGAGAUGGGUUACAAUAAAUUUUAUUUAAAUGGAUAAUGAGUAAAAUUACUUAUUUGAAGGUGGAUUUGAUUGUAAUAAUUUGAAUUUAGAAAUUUUGAUUUUGGCUCUAAAACAUGCACACAUCGCCCGUCGCUCUCGUUAUUUAAGGCGAGAUAAGUCGUAACAUAGUAGGUGUACCGGAAGGUGUACCUGGAAAGUU
rnacentral:ncRNA from 1 species